GACGAACGCUGGCGGCGUGCUUAACACAUGCAAGUCGAACGGAAAGGCCCUGCUUUUGUGGGGUGCUCGAGUGGCGAACGGGUGAGUAACACGUGAGUAACCUGCCCUUGACUUUGGGAUAACUUCAGGAAACUGGGGCUAAUACCGGAUAGGAGCUCCUGCUGCAUGGUGGGGGUUGGAAAGUUUCGGCGGUUGGGGAUGGACUAGCGGCUUAUCAGCUUGUUGGUGGGGUAGUGGCUUACCAAGGCUUUGACGGGUAGCCGGCCUGGGAGGGUGACCGGCCACAUUGCGCCUGAGAUACGGCCCAGACUCCUACGGGAGGCAGCAGUGGGGAAUAUUGCACAAUGGGCGGAAGCCUGAUGCAGCAACGCCGCGUGCGUGAUGACGGCCUUCGAGUUGUAAACCGCUUUCGCCUGUGACGAAGCGUGAGUGACGGUAAUGGGUAAAGAAGCACCGGCUAACUACGUG
rnacentral:rRNA from 1 species